AGGACGAACGCUGGCGGCGUGCCUAAUACAUGCAAGUCGAGCGAACAGAGAAGGAGCUUGCUCCUUCGACGUUAGCGGCGGACGGGUGAGUAACACGUGGGCAACCUACCUUAUAGUUUGGGAUAACUCCGGGAAACCGGGGCUAAUACCGAAUAAUCUGUUUCACCUCAUGGUGAAACACUGAAAGACGGUUUCGGCUGUCGCUAUAGGAUGGGCCCGCGGCGCAUUAGCUAGUUGGUGAGGUAACGGCUCACCAAGGCGACGAUGCGUAGCCGACCUGAGAGGGUGAUCGGCCACACUGGGACUGAGACACGGCCCAGACUCCUACGGGAGGCAGCAGUAGGGAAUCUUCCACAAUGGGCGAAAGCCUGAUGGAGCAACGCCGCGUGAGUGAAGAAGGAUUUCGGUUCGUAAAACUCUGUUGUAAGGGAAGAACAAGUACAGUAGUAACUGGCUGUACCUUGACGGUACCUUAUUAGAAAGCCACGGC
rnacentral:rRNA from 1 species